UAAUGAGCUCCAUGCUGGGGCAGGGAGGUUGUUGAGCUUAUUGCCAAGAUAAGGCCUUGGUCUGGGGGAAGAAUAGAGCAAAGAAGCAGAGUGGAGUUUAUGUGCUUGAUAAUCAACUGACACCUUAUUUCUGUGUGUGUGAAAGGAGCACUGAGGAGGCAGGAGAGAGAAGAAGAGGGGAUGUAGGAAAGGAUGAGUAGGAACGGGAAGUGGAUCUUUCCAGUGUCUCCUUAAAUAUCUCUUGUAUAAGUUUCAGGUUAAUAUAAUCUCAGAUGCAUCCUUCCACCAUAGAAUUCCAAACUCCACUUGGAAAAUAAAAAUGAUUAUGAAGCAGGUGGUAAAUCUGACUGCCUAAUUCCCAUGGGGACACAAUUAACUGCUUUUGGAAAUCCAAACGCUCUAUGUCUAGUUCAGAAGGAUUCUCUCCACUAUGAAAGACCAUGUCAAACUCAACCCAUGACCAGUCUGCUGAAUGCAAGUUCUUCCUGCUAGGAAACAUCUUUUUAGACUUCAUGGUUGUGAACAUGACUUUUAAAUAAGCCCAUGCUUACAGUAUAACAACUGAGUAAGGGGACUUGGUUUCACUAUUGUUGCAAUUGGUAGCAUAGAGGGUGACCUACUCUGGUUUAAAAAUCUGAAUGAUCAGAAACAUUACCCUGGUAACAGGGAUGCUGUUUAGAAACUUGUACUAUAACAGCAUCCCCACUACUGUGAUAAAAGCCUUAAACUGUCUGGGAUUUUAAGCCAGUUACUUGGAUAUGGUUUGGUCACAUCUAUACUAACUAGGAACCUGGCUAGUGUAGUCGUAGCCCAAGUUCUAGAGCCAGAAGCCCUUCUUCUGAUAUUACAAUGGUGUAACUCCACAAAGUUGAAUUGCUCCUGAUUUACACUAGUGAGAUCAGAACCAGGUCCACAAUAUGUCAAAACAAUCCUAUCAAGUCUCAAACAUACAUUUCUGCCACAUACAAAUAGUUCAUGAUGGCUUUGGCAUUCCUCUAAGUAGAGUUACUUAAAUUAAAGACUGAAAAAACAAAUACACUAUCUUGGAACUGAAUGGUAAUUAGUAAGCUACCACUGAAAACAGCCACGAUAAAUAGCUAUUAAAAAGAGCAUUACAAAAAAAAUUCUUAGAAGCCUGCUCUGUAUCGUUACUAUAGGCUAUAAUUAACACUAUAACACAUUGCCAUAAUUUGUUUCCUGGACCUGUAGUAUCUGAGCUCAACAACAUCCAUUGGUGUGAUCUUUCUGGAAGGGCACUUACAAGUAUGCACUCCAGGAUAGCAAUGGGAUUUAGGAAAAGUAGUGCCUGGCACAUUCAUCGAACACAACUGACAAAUGAGAAAUAAAAUCUCAGUUGUGAGAUAAGUCUUUUCUACAACCUUGGCAAGAAGCUCUGAAGAGGCUAAAGGGGUGGAUUAGGAAUCCCCAUGUGUUUAACGGCUAGUCAAGGGAAGAUUUUAGGUUUUAGUUUUUUUUUUUUUUUAAAACUAAUCUCAUCUUCAUAGUCUCUCUGGUAAAGCUGGGAGUCUUAAGCCUCAACCCUCACUGAAAGCUGGAUUUGUUAGAAAUUGUCUUAACGGGAAACAGACUAUGCAGAAUAAACACUGGAAGUAGUAAUACAUAAUGAAUUGUCAAAUGCAUAAUGAAUUAUUUUUUCUGAUCUGCCAAUUGUACAUAACAGUA